GUGCUCCCUUCAGCAGCACAUAAACUAAAAUUGGAAUGAUAGAGAUUAGCAUGGCCCCUAUACAAGAAGGAUAUGCAAAUCUGUGAAGCAUUCCAUAUUUAA
ensembl:snRNA U6 U6 spliceosomal RNA